rnacentral:rRNA from 1 species
GACGAACGCUGGCGGCGUGCUUAACACAUGCAAGUCGAACGGAAAGGCCUGCUUUCCCUUGUGGAUUGCGGGUACUCGAGUGGCGAACGGGUGAGUAACACGUGAGUGAUCUGCCCCCAACUUGGGUAUAAGCCUGGGAAACUGGGUCUAAUUCCCGAUAGGACUGCAGGGUGGUGCCUGUGGUGGAAAACGAUUUUCUAGUGGUUGGGGAUGAGCUCGCGGCCUAUCAGCUUGUUGGUGGGGUAAUGGCCUACCAAGGCGGCGACGGGUAGCCGGCCUGGGAGGGUGGACGGCCACAUUGGGACUGAGAUACGGCCCAGACUCCUACGGGAGGCAGCAGUGGGGAAUAUUGCACAGUGGGCGGAAGCCUGAUGCAGCGACGCCGCGUGGGGGAUGACGGCCUUCGGGUUGUAAACUCCUUUCGACCGCGAGGAAGCCACCUGGUUGGAAGGGUGGUGACGGUAGUGGUAGAAGAAGCACCGGCUAACUACGUG